UACGUAGGAUGCAAGCGUUGUCCGGAAUUAUUGGGCGUAAAGAGCGCGCAGGCGGUCUAUCAAGUCAGAUGUGAAAUAUCCCGGCUUAACCGGGAGGGGUCAUUUGAAACUGGUAGACUAGAGUACAGCAGAGGAUAGUGGAAUUCCCGGUGUAGUGGUGAAAUGCGUAGAUAUUGGGAGGAACACCAGUGGCGAAGGCGGCUACCUGGACCGGUUCUGACGCUGAGGCGCGAAAGCGUGGGUAGCAAACAGG
rnacentral:rRNA from 1 species